UACGAAGGGGGCUAGCGUUGUUCGGAAUUACUGGGCGUAAAGCGCACGUAGGCGGACCAUCAAGUUGGGGGUGAAAUCCCGGGGCUCAACCCCGGAACUGCCUCCAAAACUGCUGGUCUGGAGGUCGAGAGAGGUGAGUGGAAUUCCGAGUGUAGAGGUGAAAUUCGUAGAUAUUCGGAGGAACACCAGUGGCGAAGGCGGCUCACUGGCUCGAUACUGACGCUGAGGUGCGAAAGCGUGGGGAGCAAACGGG
rnacentral:rRNA from 1 species